rnacentral:lncRNA from 1 species
GGAUAAGAUUAUAAUAGGCUAGGAAUGCAUGGGGGUGUUCUAGGUCUUCUAGCCACAUUGUCAGUUGAAGAACAAAAACUACCCGUGUAAGUUCUAAGUCACGCAAAUACAUAUAAAGUCUAAGUCUGUCAUCAAGGGAGAGGGGAAUGCCUCCUUAGUCUGAGGGUUAGUCUAAGUUAGUGACCAGGAACUGACAAGGGAACAUCAAGGAGCUUUCUGGAACCUCGUUAUAAGCAGCCACGAGAAGCAGUUGGUAGAACUGGCCUAAGAGCUGUCCUUCUUUGACAAGUUAGUUCAUAUAUUUAAACAUUUAUUAAUCACUGGCUAUAAAUUCCAGCCCCACUGAUUAUGUGAAGCAACAAUGAUAGAAACAGAAUAGAAUUUAAGAGUAAGCUAUGGAACUUAGUGACUGAUUAGAUUGGAGAGGUGAGGAAAAACAGCUAAGGAGACUUUUCAGUUUUGUGGAUUCUAGAAAAUAUCAUUUGGGGAGGAACGAUGAGUUUUUAGUUUGGGGUGCACUGUAAUUGCAAGGUAUUAGAAUGUGAUUUUUCUUACCUUUUAAAGACCACUAUAAAUGGAAUAAGGAAGGCAGAAACCUAAUGUUAGUGCUUCAAGAGAAAUUGGAAGUUAUGCUUCUUUCAAAUGGACUCAGACGACCACAUCACACUCAACUCUAAACUUAUCACCAAGUAGCUUCCUACCAGUUUUCAGCCUAGGAAAAUGCAGAAAUGGGCCAU